rnacentral:rRNA from 1 species
ACCCGCUGAACUUAAGCAUAUCAAUAAGCGGAGGAAAAGAAACCAACAGGGAUUGCCUCAGUAACGGCGAGUGAAGCGGCAACAGCUCAAAUUUGAAAUCUGGCCUCACGGUCCGAGUUGUAAUUUGUAGAGGAUGCUUUUGGCGAGGUGCUUUCCGAGUUCCCUGGAACGGGACGCCAUAGAGGGUGAGAGCCCCGUACGGUAAGACCACCGAGCCUCUGUAAAGCUCCUUCGACGAGUCGAGUAGUUUGGGAAUGCUGCUCUAAAUGGGAGGUGUACGUCUUCUAAAGCUAAAUACCGGCCAGAGACCGAUAGCGCACAAGUAGAGUGAUCGAAAGAUGAAAAGCACUUUGAAAAGAGGGUUAAAAAGUACGUGAAAUUGUUGAAAGGGAAGCAUUCAUGACCAGACUUGGGCUUGGUUGAACAUCCGGCGUUCUCGCCGGUGCACUCUGCCAGUCCAGGCCAGCAUCAGUUUGCCCCGGGGGACAAAGGCGGUGGGAAUGUGGCUCUCUUCGGGGAGUGUUAUAGCCUGCUGUGUAAUACGGCCGCUGGGACUGAGGACCGCGCUUCGGCUAGGAUGCUGGCAUAAUGGUCAUCAGCCACCCGUCUUGAAACACGGACCAAGGAG